UCCUACGGGAGGCAGCAGUGAGGAAUAUUGGACAAUGGGCGAGAGCCUGAUCCAGCCAUGCCGCGUGCAGGAUGACUGCCCUAUGGGUUGUAAACUGCUUUUAUACAGGAAGAAACGGCUUUACGUGUAGAGCUCUGACGGUACUGUAAGAAUAAGGAUCGGCUAACUCCGUGCCAGCAGCCGCGGUAAUA
rnacentral:rRNA from 1 species